CGUGGGCCCUGUCACUGCCGCUUCUGACUGUUUUCCAGAGCUCUGAGGAAGGCGUUUCUGGCAAUUCUGGUUUGAAGCGCCUUUGGGGCCGUGGAGCGUCUCCCUCGGGCACCGUGGUCAGCCUGGACUCAGCUGGAGGCUUUGACGUGGUAGGUGGACACUCUGUGCAUGUGGCCUCGUCACCCAGUUCCCCUGGGCAAGUUUGGCCACAGCCACCAGGCCCUCCCCAAGCUGCCGUGGAUUUCUGGCCUACCCAGGGUCAUGCCAAAAUGUCCCACCACCACCACGGUUUGCAGAUGCCAUGGAAAGGCAGCCGAGGAGAACCCCUGGCCACAGUGCCUGGUGGAGGCUGGCAGGGGCCCUGGGGUGGCCCCAGAGAGUCUCUGGGCUCAGGACAGUGGCCGCUGCCAAGUGGCACAGACAUGUGUCAAUACUUUUACAACAGAUAGGGUAAGCUGGCACGCACCGCUGGCCCCAGCUCAGCCGCCAGCCGAUCGGUCAAGCAGGCCUGGCUCACAAACCCUUGUGCUCACUGUCGGAACCCCAGACCGCGAUCCCUGCCCCUGCGGCUCCCAGCAUGGACGGCCAGGACGUGGUGGUCUUGGACGGCGUUCCCCUGCCCGGGGUGAUCCACACGGCAGAGUCCGUGCAGGCAGCCUGUGCCUUCCAGUUCCAAGACACGGACGUCCUCCUGGUGACCUUCCCCAAGUCAGGUCCGGCCCGCAGCUCGCCCCGCCGCUCAGGGCCUGA
rnacentral:lncRNA from 1 species